rnacentral:misc_RNA from 1 species
UUAACUAAUUUCGUUAUAGGUCUCAGACUGCAACUUCAGACAGCGUUCAGGGGGGCCGUCGGCGGGCGCGGGGCCCGCCGAGGCAACAUAGGUUCGGGCAACACGGGUGGGAGGUUGGGCCCCGAGGGGCCCGCACUCGGUAAUGAUCCUUCCGCAGGUUCACCUACGGAAA